GACGAACGCUGGCGGCGUGCUUAACACAUACAAGUCGAACGGAAAGGCCCCUUUGGGGGUACUCGAGUGGCGAACGGGUGAAUAACACGUGAGUAACCUGCCCUUGACUUCGGGAUAACUUCAGGAAACUGGGGCUAAGACCGUAUAGGAAUCCUUGCUGCAUGGUGGGGGUGGGGAAGCUUCGGCGGUUUUGGAUGGACUCGCGGCUUAUCAGCUUGUUGGUGGGGUAGUGGCUUACCAAGGCGUUGACGGGUAGCCGGCCUGAGAGGGCGAGCGGCCACAUUGGGAAUGAGAUACGGCCCAGACUCCUACGGGAGGAAGCAGUGGGGAAUAUUGCACAAUGGGCGGAAGCCUGAUGCAGCAACGCCGCGUGCGGGAUGACGGCCUUCGGGUUGUAAACCGCUUUCAGCAGGGGCGAAGCUUGUGGUGACGGUACCUGCAGAAGAAGCACCGGCUAACUACGUG
rnacentral:rRNA from 1 species